UAGUUGCGUCCUCGACUUGGGAUUAGUCCGCGCGAGGAUAAUUGUAAAUGGGGUGAUGCGUCUUUUUCUCACUGGAGGGUUUGUUCAUGCGUUAGGUAAGGUUGAAUCUGUGUACGACCAGUAAUCGUUUAAUCUUGCCGACGUGAUGUCCCUUCUCCAGGGUGGAGUUGGCAGAGAUUUGGGGACACUGAUAUUCUCAUACAAUGUCUCGAUGUACUCUUAACUAGUUGUCCAUGCGACAUGAAUAAAUGGUCAAAGUAUCCCGGGAUUAAUAUGAUAUUGGGAAAGCUUUUAAUGAGUGAGAGAUGCGUAUAACAUGUUUAGUUCAGAAGUAUAUAUCGUUCAAAAUUUUGAUUUUAGUUUGUAUGAAGAAAUGAUUGAUAUGGCUUGGGUUUUCAGACAACAUGGGCCGAAGCCUCCGAUAACGAUU